rnacentral:rRNA from 1 species
UACGUAGGGGGCUAGCGUUGUCCGGAAUCACUGGGCGUAAAGGGUUCGCAGGCGGAAAUGCAAGUCAGAUGUAAAAGGCAGUAGCUUAACUACUGUAAGCAUUUGAAACUGCAUAUCUUGAGAAGAGUAGAGGUAAGUGGAAUUUUUAGUGUAGCGGUGAAAUGCGUAGAUAUUAAAAAGAAUACCGGUGGCGAAGGCGACUUACUGGGCUCAUUCUGACGCUGAGGGACGAAAGCGUGGGUAGCAAACAGGAUUAGAAACCCGAGUAGUCC